UACGAAGGGGGCUAGCGUUGUUCGGAAUCACUGGGCGUAAAGCGCACGUAGGCGGAUGUGCCAGUCAGGGGUGAAAUCCCGGAGCUCAACUCCGGAACUGCCUCUGAUACAGCACGUCUUGAGUUCGAGAGAGGUGGGUGGAAUUCCUAGUGUAGAGGUGAAAUUCGUAGAUAUUAGGAAGAACACCGGUGGCGAAGGCGGCCCACUGGCUCGAUACUGACGCUGAGGUGCGAAAGCGUGGGGAGCAAACGGG
rnacentral:rRNA from 1 species